rnacentral:rRNA from 1 species
UACGUAGGGGGCAAGCGUUGUCCGGAAUCAUUGGGCGUAAAGCGCGUGUAGGCGGUUCGAUAAGUCUGCUGUGAAAGUCCAGGGCUCAACCCUGGAAAGCCGGUGGAUACUGUCGGACUAGAGUGCGGAAGAGGCGAGUGGAAUUCCAGGUGUAGCGGUGAAACGCGUAGAUAUCUGGAGGAACACCGGUGGCGAAGGCGGCAUCCUGGACCGGCAUUGACGCUGAGGCGCGAAAGCGUGGGGAGCGAACAGG